rnacentral:rRNA from 1 species
GUAGGUGGCAAGCGUUGUCCGGAAUUAUUGGGCGUAAAGCGCGCGCAGGCGGUUCUUUAAGUCUGAUGUGAAAGCCCACGGCUCAACCGUGGAGGGUCAUUGGAAACUGGAGAACUUGAGUACAGAAGAGAAAGCGGAAUUCCACGUGUAGCGGUGAAAUGCGUAGAGAUGUGGAGGAACACCAGUGGCGAAGGCGGCUUUCUGGUCUGUAACUGACGCUGAGGCGCGAAAGCGUGGGGAGCAAACAGGGAUUAGAUACCCUGGUAGUCCACGCCGUAAACGAUGAGUGCUAAGUGUUAGGGGGUUUCCGCCCCCUUAGUGCUGCAGCUAACGCAUUAAGCACUCCGCCUGGGGAGUACGGCCGCAAGGCUG